rnacentral:rRNA from 1 species
UACGUAGGAGACGAGCGUUGUCCGGAGUUACUGGGCGUAAAGGGUGCGCAGGUGGCGGCGCGCGUGGGGGGUGAAAUCGCCCGGCUUAACUGGGCGGGGGCCUUCCAGACGGCGUGGCUUGAGCAGCGGAGGGGGACGUGGAAUUCCGGGUGGAGCGGUGAAAUGCGUAGAGAUCCGGAGGAACCCCAGAGGCGAAGGCGGCGCCCUGGCUCGCAACUGACGCUCAGACACGACAGCAUGGGGAGCGAACGGG